GACGAACGCUGGCGGCGUGCUUAACACAUGCAAGUCGAACGGAAAGGCCCUGCUUUUGUGGGGUGCCGGGGUGGGAACGGGGGAGGAAAACGGUGGGUAACCUGCCCUUGCUUUUGGGUAACUUUAAGAAACCUGGGGUUAAUCCCGAAUAGGAGCCCCGGUGGCUGGGGGGGGGUGGGAAGGUUUGGCGGUUGGGGAUGGACUCGCGGCUUAUCAGCUUGUUGGUGGGGUAGUGGCUUACCAAGGCUUUUACGGGUAGCCGGCCUGAGAGGGUGACCGGCCACAUUGGGACUGAGAUACGGCCCAGACUCCUACGGGAGGCAGCAGUGGGGAAUAUUGCACAAUGGGCGGAAGCCUGAUGCAGCAACGCCGCGUGCGGGAUGACGGCCUUCGGGUUGUAAACCGCUUUCGCCUGUGACGAAGCGUGAGUGACGGUAAUGGGUAAAGAAGCACCGGCUAACUACGUG
rnacentral:rRNA from 1 species